rnacentral:tRNA from 1 species
AGAAGUUUAGGUUAAACAAACCAAAAACCUUCAAAGUUUUUAAUAAAAGUUAAACCCUUUUAACUUCUG